rnacentral:tRNA from 1 species
AGAAUGGCUCAGUUGGUAGAGCAACGCAUUCGUAAUGCGUGGGUCGAGGGUUCGAGUCCCUUUUCU